rfam:Ictidomys tridecemlineatus contig111165, whole genome shotgun sequence.
GGAAAUGAGCAUAUUAUUUGUUUGCAAAAAAUAAAGGACAAAAUGGUGAUUUGGUGACCAAAUGAAUGGACUAUAGCAUAGAGUUCAAGGUUAUCACCAAACCUGCUUUCUCAUAAUUCACGAGAGCUAAGAUCCAAACUGGGAUUAGAUACUGCACUAUGCUUAGCGCUAGACGUAAACAUUAAACAAACAAGAAUGUUCACCAGAGUACUACUAGCAACGGCCUAAAACUCAAAGGACUUGGGAGUGCUUUACAUCCCUCUAGAGGAGCCUGUUCUAUAAUCAAUAAACCCUGAUAUACCUCACCACCUUUAGCAUUUAUCAGCCUAUAUACUGCCAUCUUCAGCAAACCCUAACAAGUUCUUAUAGUAAGCAAGAGAAUUUCACAUUAAUAUGUUAGGUCAAGGUGUAGCCUAUAAGGUAGAAAGUAAUGGGCUACAUUUUCUACGUCUUAGAACAAAUCGUCACGACAGCUUUUAUGAAACUUAAAAGCCCAAAUCGGAUUUAGUAAUAAGUUAAGAAUUAAGAGCCUAGCUGAAUUGGGCAGUAAAGUAUGCACACACCACCCGUCACCCUCUUUAAAUAUAAUUACACAAAACCUGAUACAUAAUCCUCUUGAUUAUACUGCAUGAGAAGGGAUAAAUCAUAACAAGGUAGAUAUACUGAAAAGUGUGUUUGCAAUAAAAAAAAA